UGGGGAAUAUUGCUCAAUGGGCGCAAGCCUGAAGCAGCGACGCCGCGUGAGGGAUGAAGGCCUUCGGGUUGUAAACCUCUUUCAGCGCCGAAGAAGCGAAAGUGACGGUAGGCGCAGAAGAAGCACCGGCUAACUACGUGCCAGCAGCCGCGGUAAUACGUAGGGUGCAAGCGUUGUCCGGAAUCAUUGGGCGUAAAGAGCUCGUAGGCGGUCUGUCGCGUCUGCUGUGAAAACCUGGGGCUUAACCCCGGGCCUGCAGUGGGUGCGGGCAGGCUAGAGUGCGGUAGGGGAGACUGGAAUUCCUGGUGUAGCGGUGAAAUGCGCAGAUAUCAGGAGGAACACCGGUGGCGAAGGCGGGUCUCUGGGCCGUAACUGACGCUGAGGAGCGAAAGCAUGGGUAGCGAACAGG
rnacentral:rRNA from 1 species